GAUGUGGGACUUUCAGCAUAAACCGUAGAAAUUCUCAGGUAACUCUAGAUGAGUUAGUCAUCCUUGGUGACUGUCAUUAUCUCUUCUCAAAGGAUGACUAGGAAUUUGGGGAAGACCAUUCUAGAUCAAAAGGCAACAUGAACAAAAGCAAGGAGGAGAGAAACAGCAUGAGAGGUUCUAGGGGAACUGGAAGCAAUGUAGAGUUGCUGGAGGACACAGUAUGUGACAGUGCUGGGGAAAAUGAGGCAGAGGGUCAGACAAGAGGCAGACUGGGAAGAGUUUUGAAAAUCAUCUUAAGGAGCAUGGGAGCCUUUUAGGCAACUGAGCAACUGAUGGCAAAGACUGAAAGCCACAAGGCUCCGAAGGCUCCCCCGUUCUUGGCAUGGUGUGUCUGUUCUCCAGGCGCUCUCCUGGGUCUCUGGCAAUCUGCUCUCUGCUAAUUGGUGCAGAUGGGAGUAGGAAGGUGAACAGAGCACACGGGGGAGGAAGCAGAUUCUCCCGUGAAAUCUCAAGUCUUGGAAACACUUCAACAUUUUGGUAUGCAUGGAAUCAAGUGCAUCAUGGUAGACUUCUGGACAUCUAGGUUGCAGAUCAUCAGAGCUUGGGAAGACUGAAUGACAUGAUAGAUCUAAAAUACCUCAUCCAUGGAUACAAGGCCUGAGCUCAGCAGCUGACAAGUACUU
rnacentral:lncRNA from 12 species